rnacentral:rRNA from 1 species
UACGUAGGGUGCAAGCGUUUGUCCGGAAUUAUUGGGCGUAAAGAGCUCGUAGGCGGUUUUGUCGCGUCUGCUGUGAAAACGCGAGGCUCAACCUCGCGCCUGCAGUGGGUACGGGCAGACUAGAGUGCGGUAGGGGAGAUUGGAAUUCCUGGUGUAGCGGUGGAAUGCGCAGAUAUCAGGAGGAACACCGAUGGCGAAGGCAGAUCUCUGGGCCGUAACUGACGCUGAGGAGCGAAAGCGUGGGGAGCAAACAGG